rnacentral:rRNA from 1 species
UACGGGGGGGGCAAGCGUUGUUCGGAAUUACUGGGCGUAAAGGGCUUGUAGGUGGCCAACUAAGUCAGACGUGAAAUCCCUCGGCUUAACCGGGGAACUGCGUCUGAUACUGGAUGGCUUGAGUGUGGGAGAGGGAUGCGGAAUUCCCGGUGUAGUGGUGAAAUGCGUAGAUAUCGGGAGGAACACCAGUGGCGAAGGCGGCUUCCUGGCCUGUUCUUGACGCUGAGGCGCGAAAGCUAGGGGAGCAAACGGG